CCUACGGGUGGCAGCAGUGAGGAAUAUUGGUCAAUGGACGAGAGUCUGAACCAGCCAAGUAGCGUGAAGGAUGACUGCCCUAUGGGUUGUAAACUUCUUUUAUAAAGGAAUAAAACGAGGCACGUGUGCCUUUUUGCAUGUACUUUAUGAAUAAGGAUCGGCUAACUACGUGCCAGCAGCCGCGGUAAUACGGAGGAUCCGAGCGUUCUCCGGAUUUAGUGGGUUUAAAGGGAGCGUAGAUGGGUUGUUAAGUCAGUUGUGAAACUUUGCGGCUCAACCGUGAAAUUGCAAUUGAUACUGGCAGUCUUGAGUACAGUUGAGGAAGGCGGAAUUCGUGGUGUAGCGGUGAAAUGCUUAGAUAUCACGAAGAACCCCGAUUGCGAAGGCAGCUUACUAAACUGUGACUGACAUUGAUGCUCGAAAGUGUGGGUAUCAAACAGGAUUAGAUACCCCUGUAGUC
rnacentral:rRNA from 1 species